AGUGAACGCUGGCGGCGUGCCUAAUACAUGCAAGUCGAACGGAGUGGCGCACGGGUGUGUAAUGUAUAGCUAAUCUGCCCUACACUAGAGGACAACAGUUGGAAACGACUGCUAAUACUCUAUAGUGUAGGAUGAGGCUAUAUUGUAUCAGCUAGUUGGUGAGGUAAUGGCUCACCAAGGCUAUGACGCACAACUGGUCUGAGAGGAUGAUCAGUCACACUGUAAGUGGGACACAGUCCAGACUCCUGCGGGAGGGAGCAGUAGGUGAUAUUGCUCAAUGGGGGAAGCCCUGAAGCAGCUACGCCGCGUGGAGGAUGACACUUUUCGAGGCGGAAACUCCUUUUGGUAGGGAAGCGGUACCUAACGAAUAAGCACCGGCUAACUCCGUGCCAGCCGCCGCGGUAAUUC
rnacentral:rRNA from 1 species